AGCGAACGCUGGCGGCAUGCCUAACACAUGCAAGUCGCACGGGGGGGCUUCGGCCUCCCUGUGCCGGUCGGGUGAGGAACGCGUAGGGACCUGUCGAGGUGAGGGGGCUAACCGCGGGAAACUGCGGCUAAUACCGCAUGACGCCGCCGCGUGACAGCCGGGGCCACAGGCGAAAGCCGCCCGAGGAGGGGCCUGCGUCCGAUUAGCUGGUUGGCGGGGUGGCGGCCCACCAGGGCGUCGAACGGUAGCAGGUCUGAGAGGGUGCGCAGCCACACCGGGACUGGGCAGCGGCCCGGACUCCUACGGGAGGCAGCAGUGGGGAAUAUUGGAAAGUGGGCGGAAGCCUGAUCGAGCAAUGCUGCGUGGGUGAAGAAGGUCUGCGGAUUGUAAAGCCCUUUCGGCGGGGACGAUGGUGACGGUACCCGCAGAAGAAGCCCCGGCUAACUUCGUG
rnacentral:rRNA from 1 species